rnacentral:tRNA from 1 species
GGAGGUGAAUCCGUCCUGGUGGGCGGCGCGGUCUUCAAAACCGUUGUGGCGUCUUAACCGGCGCUGGGUAAGUUCGAUUCUUACGCACCUCCGCCA